rnacentral:tRNA from 1 species
GAUCUGGUAGUUCAGUGGGAGAACAUCACGUUGACAGCGUGGGGGUCGGGGGUUCGAAUCCCUCCCAGAUCA